rnacentral:rRNA from 1 species
ACACGACUACAUUAGAUACCCGGGUAGUCCCAGCCCUAAACGAUGCGCGUUAGGUGUAUCGGUGACCACGAGUCACCGAGGUGCCGAAGGGAAACCGUGAAACGUGCCGCCUGGGAAGUACGGUCGCAAGGCUGAAACUUAAAGGAAUUGGCGGGGGAGCACCACAACGGGCGGAGCCUGCGGUUUAAUUGGACUCAACGCCGGGAAGCUCACCGGAUAAGACAGCGGAAUGAUUGCCGGGCUGAAGACCCUGCAUGACCAGCUG